AGAGUUUGAUCCUGGCUCAGGAUUAACGCUGGCGGCGUGCAUAACACAUGCAAGUUGAACGAGAAUCUUUAGAAUUGAGUUUUCGGACGAUAUUUUGAAGAGGAAAGUAGCGGACGGGUGAGUAACACGUGAGGAACCUGCCAUUCACAGAGGGAUAGCAACCGGAAACGGUUAUUAAUACCUCAUGAGACCAUCAUUUCGCAUGAAAAGAUGGUUAAAGAAAUUCGGUGAAUGAUGGCCUUGCGUCUGAUUAGCUAGUUGGUAGGGUAACGGCCUACCAAGGCGACGAUCAGUAGCCGGCUUGAGAGAGUGAACGGCCACAUUGGGACUGAGACACGGCCCAGACUCCUACGGGAGGCAGCAGUGGGGAAUUUUGCACAAUGGGCGCAAGCCUGAUGCAGCGACGCCGCGUGAGCGAUGAAGGUCUUCGGAUUGUAAAGCUCUGUCCUGGGUGAAGAUAAUGACGGUAAUCCAGGAGGAAGCCCCGGCUAACUACGUGCCAGCAGCCGCGGUAAUACGUAGGGGGCGAGCGUUGUCCGGAAUUAUUGGGCGUAAAGGGUACGUAGGCGGACAGUCAAGUUUGACGUCAAAGCCCAGAGCUUAACUCUGGUAAGCGUUAAAAACUGGCUGCCUUGAGUGGUAGAUGGGAUCGUGGAAUUCCUAGUGUAGCGGUGAAAUGCGUAGAGAUUAGGAAGAAUACCAGUGGCGAAAGCGACGAUCUGGAUACCAACUGACGCUGAGGUACGAAAGCGUGGGGAGCAAACAGGAUUAGAUACCCUGGUAGUCCACGCUGUAAACGAUGAGUGCUAGAUGUCGGGGGUCAAACCUCGGUAUCGCCGUUAACACAUUAAGCACUCCGCCUGGGGAGUACGCACGCAAGUGUGAAACUCAAAGGAAUUGACGG
rnacentral:rRNA from 1 species